rnacentral:rRNA from 1 species
GCUUAACACAUGCAAGUCGAGGGGCAGCAUGGUCUUAGCUUGCUAAGGCCGAUGGCGACCGGCGCACGGGUGAGUAACACGUAUCCAACCUGCCGUCUACUCUUGGACAGCCUUCUGAAAGGAAGAUUAAUACAAGAUGGCAUCAUGAGUCCGCAUGUUCACAUGAUUAAAGGUAUUCCGGUAGACGAUGGGGAUGCGUUCCAUUAGAUAGUAGGCGGGGUAACGGCCCACCUAGUCUUCGAUGGAUAGGGGUUCUGAGAGGAAGGUCCCCCACAUUGGAACUGAGACACGGUCCAAACUCCUACGGGAGGCAGCAGUGAGGAAUAUUGGUCAAUGGGCGAGAGCCUGAACCAGCCAAGUAGCGUGAAGGAUGACUGCCCUAUGGGUUGUAAACUUCUUUUAUAAAGGAAUAAAGUCGGGUAUGCAUACCCGUUUGCAUGUACUUUAUGAAUAAGGAUCGGCUAACUCCGUGCCAGCAGCCGCGGUAAUACGGAGGAUCCGAGCGUUAUCCGGAUUUAUUGGGUUUAAAGGGAGCGUAGAUGGAUGUUUAAGUCAGUUGUGAAAGUUUGCGGCUCAACCGUAAAAUUGCAGUUGAUACUGGAUAUCUUGAGUGCAGUUGAGGCAGGCGGAAUUCGUGGUGUAGCGGUGAAAUGCUUAGAUAUCACGAAGAACUCCGAUUGCGAAGGCAGCCUGCUAAGCUGCAACUGACAUUGAGGCUCGAAAGUGUGGGUAUCAAACAGGAUUAGAUACCCUGGUAGUCCACACGGUAAACGAUGAAUACUCGCUGUUUGCGAUAUACGGCAAGCGGCCAAGCGAAAGCGUUAAGUAUUCCACCUGGGGAGUACGCCGGCAACGGUGAAACUCAAAGGAAUUGACGGGGGCCCGCACAAGCGGAGGAACAUGUGGUUUAAUUCGAUGAUACGCGAGGAACCUUACCCGGGCUUAAAUUGCAGAUGAAUUACGGUGAAAGCCGUAAGCCGCAAGGCAUCUGUGAAGGUGCUGCAUGGUUGUCGUCAGCUCGUGCCGUGAGGUGUCGGCUUAAGUGCCAUAACGAGCGCAACCCUUGUUGUCAGUUACUAACAGGUUCCGCUGAGGACUCUGACAAGACUGCCAUCGUAAGAUGUGAGGAAGGUGGGGAUGACGUCAAAUCAGCGCGGCCCUUACGUCCGGGGCUACACACGUGUUACAAUGGGGGGUACAGAGGGCCGCUACCACGCGAGUGGAUGCCAAUCCCCAAAACCUCUCUCAGUUCGGACUGGAGUCUGCAACCCGACUCCACGAAGCUGGAUUCGCUAGUAAUCGCGCAUCAGCCACGGCGCGGUGAAUACGUUCCCGGGCCUUGUACACACCGCCCGUCAAGCCAUGGAAGCUGGGAGUACCUGAAGUCCGUAACCGCGAGGAUCGGCCUAGGGUAAUACCGGUAACUGGGGCUAAG